rnacentral:lncRNA from 1 species
UCGCGAUGGCGGCGAUGGCUACCCGGGCGCCCGGGCUACCGCGAGGGCAGCAGCGAUGUACGAAAGGGGCGGGCUGUGGUUGGCCGAUCAAAACUCACAAAACAGCAACAAAAAAAAAAGAAAGAAAAGGCGAAAGGAGAAGGCUGCCGGCUCCUUCGUUGCUGCUCUCCGAGCGGACGGUAACGCGGAGAGCGUAGGAGAAAGAGAGAGAGAAAAAAAA